GAGAUAUGAUGAGGCUUAUUUGGUCCGUGUUUCUGAUUUAACCGUGACCGACAAAUUCUUUACCAAACUCUGAUCUC
rnacentral:snoRNA from 1 species